rnacentral:rRNA from 1 species
UACGGGGGGGGCAAGCGUUGUUCGGAAUUACUGGGCGUAAAGGGCUCGUAGGCGGCCAACUAAGUCGGACGUGAAAUCCCUCGGCUUAAUCGGGGAACUGCGUCCGAUACUGGAUGGCUUGAGUUUGGGAGAGGGAUGCGGAAUUCCAGGUGUAGCGGUGAAAUGCGUAGAUAUCUGGAGGAACACCGGUGGCGAAGGCGGCAUCCUGGACCAACACUGACGCUGAUGAGCGAAAGCCAGGGGAGCAAACGGG